rnacentral:rRNA from 1 species
GACGUAGGAUGCAAGUGUUAUCCGGAAUCACUGGGCGUAAAGCGUCUGUAGGUGGUUUAAUAAGUCAACUGUUAAAUCUUGAGGCUCAACCUCAAAAUCGCAGUCGAAACUAUUAGGCUAGAGUAUAGUAGGGGUAAAGGGAAUUUCCAGUGGAGCGGUGAAAUGCGUAGAGAUUGGAAAGAACACCGAUGGCGAAGGCACUUUACUGGGCUAUUACUAACGCUCAGAGACGAAAGCUAGGGUAGCAAAUGGG